CACCCCCCAGCCCCUCGCCUCCGUCUCCCCGCCCGCCGUCCCCUUCUCCCUCCCCUUCACCUUCUCCCUCUCCCUCGCCUUCACCUUCGCCCUCCCCUUCACCUUCUCCCUCGCCUUCUCCCUCGCCUUCUCCCUCGCCCUCUCCUUCGCCUUCUCCAUCACCUUCUCCCUCGCCUUCUCCCUCGCCCUCUCCUUCGCCUUCUCCAUCACCUUCUCCCUCGCCGUCUCCUUCGCCCUCUCCUUCUCCAUCUCCCUCCCCUUCUCCUUCUCCUUCUCCCUCUCCUUCUCCUUCUCCUUCUCCUUCUCCCUCCCCUUCUCCCUCUCCUUCUCCC
rnacentral:lncRNA from 1 species